rnacentral:hammerhead_ribozyme from 1 species
AUUCAGCUGACGAGUCUCAAAUAGGACGAAACAUGUGUCUUAGAU